AACGAACGCUGGCGGCAUGCCUAACACAUGCAAGUCGAACGAGACCUUCGGGUCUAGUGGCGCACGGGUGCGUAACGCGUGGGAACCUGCCCUUAGGUUCGGAAUAACUCCCCGAAAGGGGUGUUAAUACCGGAUAAUGUCUUCGGACCAAAGAUUUAUCGCCUUUGGAUGGGCCCGCGUUGGUUUAGCUAGUUGGUAGGGUAAAAGCCUACCAAGGCGAGGUUCCAUAGCUGGUCUGAGAGGAUGCUCAACCACACUGGGGCUGAGGCACGGCCCAGACUGCUACGGGAGGGAGCAGUGGGGAAUAUUGGGCAAUGGGCGAAAGCCUGAUCCAGCAAUGCCGCGGAAGUGAUGAAGGCCUUAGGGUUGUAAAGCUCUUUUACCCGAGAUGAUAAUGACGGUACCGGGAGAAGAAGCACCGGCUAACUCCGUG
rnacentral:rRNA from 1 species